GACGAACGCUGGCGGCGUGCUUAACACAUGCAAGUCGAACGGAAAGGCCCUGCUUUUGUGGGGUGCUCGAGUGGCGAACGGGUGAGUAACACGUGAGUAACCUGCCCUUGACUUUGGGAUAACUUCAGGAAACUGGGGCUAAUACCGGAUAGGAGCUCCUGCUGCAUGGUGGGGGUUGGAAAGUUUCGGCGGUUGGGGAUGGACUCGCGGCUUAUCAGCUUGUUGGGGGGGUAGUGGCUUACCAAGGCUUUGACGGGUAGCCGGCCUGAGAGGGUGACCGGCCACAUUGGGACUGAGAGACGGACCAGACGGCAACGGGAGGCAGCAGUCGAGAGUAUGACACAACGGGCGGAAGUCUGAUGCAGCAACGCCGCGUGCGGGAUGACGGCCUUCGGGUUGUAAACCGCUUUCGCCUGUGACGAAGCGUGAGUGACGGUAAUGGGUAAAGAAGCACCGGCUAACUACGUG
rnacentral:rRNA from 1 species